CGAUUGAUGUUUGGCCUUACAUGGUCUCACUUUCCUUAAUCUCUUUCUCUUUCGUCGUUGACCAUCGCACAAUAAAGACGUGUCCGCAGUUGCUUAAAAAUAAAUACAUGUGUUUUAUUCGAAACUUAAGAAACCUAUAAAGAAAUAUUAAGUGAUACAACUGGAGGAUUCCAUAAAAGAGAAGUUGCUGUACUCAUCGAAAUAUUAUAUGAGAGGAUUGGACUGGAGUGACUGGAUUUUUCAACAGGUUAUGGGCCCAGGCACCCAUCAAAGAUAAGUACACGUGCAUUAUAAUUCGAAAGAUGGAAAAAUCUAAAAGAAAUAUUAAGCCGUUCGACGGCGAAAAAUAUGCCAUCUGGAAGUUUCGUAUUAAAGCGCUUUUAAAUGAAAAUGAUUCAAUUAAAGUAAUUGACAACAAUCAAAGUGAAGAAAAUACGGAUGAGUGGAAGAAGUUAGAAAAAUUGGCCAAAAGUACAAUAAUUGAAUAUCUUAGUGAUUCUUUUUAAGUUUUGCCACAGACGAAUGUAGUGCUAAAGAAAUUUUAAAUAAGCUAGACUCAAUUUAUGAACGCAAAAGCUUGGCAACUCAGUUAUCAGUUCGAAAACAAUUACUUUCAUUAAAAUUAAAAACUGAUAUGGAUUUGAUAAAUCAUUUUUAUAUUUUUGACGAUUUAAUAACUGAGCUAUCUGCAUCUGGUGCAAAAUUAGAUGAUUUGGACAAAAUCAGCCAUCUUUUGUUUUCUCUGCCUACCUCGUAUGAUGGUGUCAUUACUGCCAUUGAAACACUUGCAGAGAACAAUUUGACUUUAGCUUACGUAAAACCAGAUUACUUGAUCACGAAAUUAAAUUAAAGAGAAAUCCAAAGAUACAAGUUUAAAAGUUUUGCAAGCUGUGAAUAAAGUAAAUAAUUUUCAAAAUAAUAAUAAACAAUUUCAACAUAAUAAUAAACAAUCUCAAUACAAAAAUAAUAAGUUUCAUGAUAAAGCACAGUUCAAAUCAAAGUUCAAAUUUAACAAUAAUAAACCAAAAUGUUUUCACUGUGGCAAAAUAGGGCACUUAAAGAAGGAUUGCUAUAAGUAUAAGAGAGAGAAAGAAAAUGAGAAAAAUAAAGAAAAACAGGCACAAUUGGCUCAAGGGCAAAAUGAAACAGAACAAUCUGGCUUUGCAUUUAUGCUCAAACGUCACAAUAAUAUUGGUGAUAAGCAUAUUUCUUUCCUAUUGGAUUCGGGUGCAUCUGAUCACUUGACCAACAAUGAAAAUCUACUCUCGAACAUUCGCCAUCUUGAAUUACCCAUCAAAAUUGCUGUUGCAAAGUCAGACGAAUUUAUAAUUGCAACUAAAAGGGAUCAAUGGAAUUGUUAACCGAUACUUUGACCAAAAUCACUCUAAACGAUGUAUUAUUUUGUCCGGAUGUAUCACAAAACCUUAUCUCCGUUAAAAAGAUGCAAGAUGCAGGUUUUACAAUUGUAUUUCAUCCAGGAGGUGUGCUUGUAAACAAAUCGCAGAUAUGCUAACCAAACCAUUACCAGCGCAACGUUUUUGUGAUCUGCGAAAACAAAUGAAUUUAAUAAACUGAAGAUAUAAAAUGAAAUGGAUCUCAUGGAAAUUCGAGAAGGCUGUCUCAACAUUUAAGUUUUUUUUAUUAUUAUUUUUAUAUUUUUAUUUUGAAUUGAAAUUGUUUAACGUAAA